GAUGAACGCUGGCGGCGUGCCUAACACAUGCAAGUCGAACGAAGCACAUUCCUUCGGGGAUGUGACUGAGUGGCGGACGGGUGAGUAACGCGUGGGUAACCUGCCCUUUACAGGGGGACAACAGUUAGAAAUGACUGCUAAUACCGCAUAAGCGCACGGGGAGGCAUCUUCCCGUGUGAAAAACUUAGGUGGUAAAGGAUGGUCCCGCGUCUGAUUAGCUAGUUGGCAGGGUAAAGGCCUACCAAGGCGACGAUCAGUAGCCGGUCUGAGAGGAUGAACGGCCACAUUGGAACUGAGACGCGGUCCAAACUCCUACGGGAGGCAGCAGUGAGGGAUAUUGCACAAUGGGGGGAACCCUGAUGCAGCAACGCCGCGUGGGUGAUGAAGUCUCUAGGGACGUAAAACCCUUUCGACGGGGACGAAACCGCAAGGUUGACGGUACCCGUAGAAGAAGCCCCGGCUAACUCCGUGCCAGCAGCCGCCGUAAGAC
rnacentral:rRNA from 1 species